rnacentral:rRNA from 1 species
CCACUAAACCCAGCUUUCUUGUAACACUGUCAAGAAAAGCUUCUAUCGAGUUUAAAGGCGCCCGUACCGUAAACCGACACAGGUGGGUGAGGAGAGUAUCCUAAGGCCAGCGAGAGAACUAUUGUUAAGGAACUCGGCAAAAUGACCCCGUAACUUAGGGAGAAGGGGUGCCUGUCUAUGACAGGCCGCAGAGAAUAGGCCCAAGCGACUGCUUACCAAAAACACAGGUUUCUGCUAAGUCGCAAGACGAUGUAUAGGAGCUGACGCCUGCCCGGUGCUGGAAGGUUAAGGGGAUCUGUUAGAGCGAUCGAAGCAGUGAACUUAAGCCCCAGUAAACGGCGGCCGUAACUAUAACGGUCCUAAGGUAGCGAAACUCCUUGUCGGGUAAGUUCCGACCCGCACGAAAGGCGUAACGAUUUGGGCACUGUCUCAACAAUAGACUCGGUGAAAUUGUAAUCCCGGUGAAGAUGCCGGGUACCUGCGACAGGACGGAAAGACCCCAUGGAGCUUUACUGUAGCUUGACGUUGGGUCUUGGUACUACAUGUACAGGAUAGGUGGGAGACUAUGAAUCAUGGACGCCAGUCUGUGUGGAGUCAUCCUUGGGAUACCACCCUUGUAGUACUGGGAUCCUAACCAUAGGCCUUGAAUCAGGUCUUGGAACACCGUCAGGUGGGCAGUUUGACUGGGGCGGUCGCCUCCUAAAAAGUAACGGAGGCGCUCAAAGGUUUCCUCAGCACGGUCGGAAAUCGUGCGAAGAGUGUAAAGGCAAAAGGAAGCUUGAUUGCAAGACAUACAGGUCGAGCAAGGACGAAAGUCGGACUUAGUGAUCCGGUGGUACCGCAUGGAAGGGCCAUCGCUCAACGGAUAAAAGCUACCCUGGGGAUAACAGGCUUAUCUCCCCCAAGAGUCCACAUCGACGGGGAGGUUUGGCACCUCGAUGUCGGCUCAUCACAUCCUGGGGCUGUAGUAGGUCCCAAGGGCUGGGCUGUUCGCCCAUUAAAGUGGUACGCGAGCUGGGUUCAGAACGUCGUGAGACAGUUCGGUCCCUAUCCGUCGCAGGCGUAGGAAAUUUGAGAAGACCUGUCCUUAGUACGAGAGGACCGGGAUGGACGUACCUCUGGUGUACCAGUUGUUCUGCCAAGGGCAUGGCUGGGUAGCUAUGUACGGAAUGGAUAAGCGCUGAAAGCAUCUAAGCGCGAAGCCAACUUCAAGAUAAGAUUUCCCACCGUAAGGGUAAGACCCCAGGAAGACUACCUGGUUGAUAGGUCGAAGGUGUAAGUGCAGUAAUGUAUUUAGCUUAUCGAUACUAAUAGGUCGAGGACUUGACC